rnacentral:rRNA from 1 species
CCUAAAAAGUUCUGAGGGCAUAAAGGUUUGGUCCUAGCCUUAUUAUCAAUUAUCUCUUAACUUACACAUGCAAGUCUCAGCACACCCGUGAGGACGCCCUUUACCCCUACCCCAGGCUUAGGAGCUGGUAUCAGGCACAACUAUUUGCCCAUAACACCUAGUCCCACCACACCCCCAAGGGUAUUCAGCAGUGAUAAAUAUUGUUUAUAAGCGCUAGCUUGACCCAGUUAUAGAGAAGAGAGCCGGCCAACUUGGUGCCAGCCGCCGCGGCUAGACCAACUGGACUCAAAUUGAUAACCCCCGGCGUUAAGCGUGAUUAAAGCCAUAAAUAAAUUAGAGUUAAACCUACGUUGAGCAGUGAAAAGCACACGAUAGGGAAACCCAAAAACGAAAGCUACUCUAAUCCUUGCUUGAACCCACGACAGCUAGGACACAAACUGGG